CUGUAGGCAAUACGGCCGACGUACUCGAUCUUCCCAACGCUUUCGUCCAGGCGCCCCGGGAUAACUCAUCCCCUUAAUUUCCCGCGAUUCGUCUCUUACGAUUUGAACAAAAAAAAUACACAGUCACGUACGUGCAAAAAAAAAAGGAGGAAAAUAAUCGCGAACUACUUUUUUCGCACAAGUGAAAAGUAUCCAUUUAGAGAGAAAAAUGAGAAUUGUUAUUAUUAGAAACAAUUGAAAUUUUUAUCGUUUUUUUUUUUGGAUUUUUUUUUUUGUUGGUGAAAACAGGAAGUAUUUUCUCUAGUGAAGAGAGAGAGAGAGAGAGAGAGAAAGCGAGGGAGGAAGUGAAGAAGAGAUGCUCCGCUUUUCAACUCCCUUUAAGGGUAUUUAAAAUAGAAAUCGCGAGAAAGGGGAAAAUGUGUAAGCGCGCGUGACAUGUUCGUGUGUGAUUCGUAGUUAGCUUUUUCCAUGUAAAUCGAUCAUCACUGUAUAAACUCCUGUUUCAUUAACGAUAAUACACUUUUAUAAACAGAAUUUAAAAGAAAUAAACAUGGUUUGUGAAGAAAGAUGAAAUGGAUUAUUCGUCAGGUUGACAUAAAGAAAAGUGGAGAAAAUUUUGUUUUCCUUUCUUUCAUUCAUCGGGGACAAGUGUGAAUUUAGGGAGUGCUGAUGUGAUUGAAGAUCUCUAAAGUGUUUAAGGAUUUGUUGGAAGACCGAAAACCCAGGAGAAUCUCAACAAAAUUCAAUAACCUGAAAUUCCGGAAUCCUGCAUCCACUCCGGAAACUUCAUGUGAGUGUGCUGCUUCGAGAAUUAAUUAAAUCAGUAAUCGAAUAUGUGCAGGAUGCGCUUUCUCAUAUAAGGAAACUGGGAACUUGAAGAAGAAAAAAAAUAAUAAUAAUAAUAAAAUACGAGGAGACAAAUAUAUAAACAAAAUGCUUUGAAAGAAUACAAAAUAGAAAAGAAGGACAACAGAAAAAAAGACG